rnacentral:snoRNA from 1 species
GGUGGCUGGUGUGCAUGGUGUUAGUCUGUGUUAUGUAUUGUUGCCCGACUGUGUUUUGCAGCCUGGCAGCAGUGCUCACUCCACACCUGCAGCCAUAGAACAACUGGAGAUCAUAGUACUGGCCCUUGACGUCUUAAUUGACAUCACACCAUUGGCCAGCCUCCAAAUUCUCCAACAUGU